GACGAACGCUGGCGGCGUGCUUAACACAUGCAAGUCGAACGGAAAGGCUCUGCUUUUGUGGGGUGCUCGAGUGGCGAACGGGUGAGUAACACGUGAGUAACCUGCCCUUGACUUUGGGAUAACUUCAGGAAACUGGGGCUAAUACCCGCUAGGAGCUCCUGCUGCAUGGUGUGGGUUGGAAAGUUUCGGCGGUUGGGGAUGGACUCGCGGCGUAUCAGCUUGUUGGGGGGGUAGUGGCGUACCAAGGCUUUGACGGGUAGCCGGCCUGGGAGGGUGACCGGACACGUUAGACUUGGACUGCGGCCCAGACUAGUACGGGAGGGAGCGGAGGGGAAUAUUACUUAAUGGGAGGAAGGCUAGUGCAGCAGCGCAGCGUGCGGGAUAGCGGCCUUCGGGUUGUGAUGUGAUUUCGCCUGGGACGAGGCGAGUGUGACGGUAAUGCUUAAAGAAGCACCGGCUAACUACGUG
rnacentral:rRNA from 1 species